AGUGAACGCUGGCGGUAGGCCUAACACAUGCAAGUCGAACGGCAGCACAGUAAGAGCUUGCUCUUACGGGUGGCGAGUGGCGGACGGGUGAGGAAUACAUCGGAAUCUACUUUUUCGUGGGGGAUAACGUAGGGAAACUUACGCUAAUACCGCAUACGACCUACGGGUGAAAGCAGGGGAUCUUCGGACCUUGCGCGAUUGAAUGAGCCGAUGUCGGAUUAGCUAGUUGGCGGGGUAAAGGCCCACCAAGGCGACGAUCCGUAGCUGGUCUGAGAGGAUGAUUAGCCACACUGGAACUGAGACACGGUCCAGACUCCUACGGGAGGCAGCAGUGGGGAAUAUUGGACAAUGGGCGCAAGCCUGGUCCAGCCAUACCGCGUGGGUGAAGAAGGCCUUCGGGUUGUAAAGCCCUUUUGUUGGGAAAGAAAAGCAGCAGGUUAAUACCCCGCUGUUCUGACGGUACCCAAAGAAUAAGCACCGGCUAACUUCGUG
rnacentral:rRNA from 1 species